rnacentral:rRNA from 1 species
GUACGGCGCAAGCGUUAUCCGGAUUUACUGGGUGUAAAGGGAGCGCAGGCGGUGCGGCAAGUCUGAUGUGAAAACCCGGGGCUCAACCCCGGGACUGCAUUGGAAACUGUUCAUCUAGAGUGCUGGAGAGGUAAGUGGAAUUCCUAGUGUAGCGGUGAAAUGCGUAGAUAUUAGGAGGAACACCAGUGGCGAAGGCGGCUUACUGGACAGUAACUGACGUUGAGGCUCGAAAGCGUGGGGAGCAAACAGGAUUAGAUACCCUGGUAGUCCACGCCGUAAACGACGACUACUAGGUGUCGGGUGGCAAAGCCAUUCGGUGCCGCAGCAAACGCAAUAAGUAGUCCACCUGGGGAGUACGUUCGCAAGAAUG